ensembl:snRNA U1 U1 spliceosomal RNA
AUACUUACCUGGCAAGGGAGAUACUGUGAUCAAGAAGGUGGUUCACCCAGUGUGAGUCUCAGCCAUUGCACUCCGGCUGUGCUGACCCAUGCGAAUUUCCCAAAUGUAGAAAUCUCGAUUGCGCAAUUUAGGGUAGUGGGGGACUGCGUUCGCGCUGUCCCCUG